GACGAACGCUGGCGGCGUGCCUAAUACAUGCAAGUAGAACGCUGAAGCUUGGUGCUUGCACCGAGCGGAUGAGUUGCGAACGGGUGAGUAACGCGUAGGUAACCUGCCUGGUAGCGGGGGAUAACUAUUGGAAACGAUAGCUAAUACCGCAUAAUAGUAGAUGUUGCAUGACAUUUGCUUAAAAGGUGCAAUUGCAUCACUACCAGAUGGACCUGCGUUGUAUUAGCUAGUUGGUGAGGUAACGGCUCACCAAGGAAACGAUACAGAGCCGACCUGAGAGGGUGAUCGGCCACCCUGGGACUGAGACCCGGCCCAGACUCCUUCGGGAGGCAGCAGUAGGGAAUCUUCGGCAAUGGACGGAAGUCUGACCGAGCAACGCCGCGUGAGUGAAGAAGGUUUUCGGAUCGUAAAGCUCUGUUGUAAGAGAAGAACGAGUGUGAGAGUGGAAAGUUCACACUGUGACGGUAUCUUACCAGAAAGGGACGGCUAACUACGUG
rnacentral:rRNA from 1 species